rnacentral:rRNA from 1 species
UACAAUGGCGGAAACAGAGGGAGGCAAGCCGGUGACGGCAAGCAAACCCCAAAAUACCGUCCCAGUUCGGACUGUAGUCUGCAACCCGACUACACGAAGCCGGAAUCGCUAGUAAUCGCGGAUCAGAAUGCCGCGGUGAAUACGUUCCCGGGUCUUGUACACACCGCCCGUCACACCAUGGGAGUCGGAAAUGCCCGAAGUCAGUGACCGAACCGAAAGGAAGGAGCUGCCGAAGGUGGAGCCGGUAACUGGGGUGAAGUCGUAACAAGGUACC